rnacentral:rRNA from 1 species
UACGUAGGGUGCGAGCGUUGUCCGGAAUUACUGGGCGUAAAGCGUGCGUAGGUGGUUUGUCGCGUCGUCUGUGAAAUUCCGGGGCUUAACCCCGGGCGUGCAGGCGAUACGGGAAAACUGGAGUGCUGUAGGGGAGAGUGGAAUUCCUGGUGUAGCGGUGAAAUGCGUAGAUAUCGGGAGGAACACCGGUGGCGAAGGCGGGUCUCUGGUCAGUUACUGACACUGAGGAUCGAAAGCGUGGGUAGCGAACAGG